CACGAAAUAGAAAGGGACACAAUACAGAUCCAUUCAGCAGAUAUUUUUUUCGCAGAAAUAAAAUCUUACUGCCAAUUGGAAGAGGCAAUUCAUAUGGCCUUUACCAAAGGACACUUCUAAUUCAACUCCAAUAAUUGAAAAGAGAUUGAGCAAAAAUACAAAGUGUAAUUUUGUGGUGGGACCAAAGAGAGUUUGAUAAGUACUUUUGUUUUUUUUUAUAAAUAUAAGAAAGAAGGGUCUUUAUGGAGGUUCAUAGGACAUAAGUCAUCAGUCAAUAUUUACAUUUGUGUCCUCUGAUAUGAAUCUCCAGCUCAAUCAUCAAUAACAAUUUUUCUAACAAAAUCCUACAUGUAUCUUUUGGUUGGUGUAAACAGCCGGUUGUGGCUAACUAAGUUGCUUGGACUCGGGUGCAGAUACGGCUAUGGAUCUAGAGAUCGGAUCCUUCAUAGUCUCAAUUUAAAGAUUCGAGGAUAUGGAUCUAGGGAUGGAUACGGAUGCGAAAAUUUGGCAAAAAAUAAUUUAAAUAUCUAAAAAUAGAAUUAUAAAAUACAUAAAUCAUGAGAUAUUAUGUGGAAAACUUGAAGAGAAAGUAUUGUUCAAAAAGAAAAUUGUGAAAGGAGAUAAAAAGAAAAGCAAUAACAUAGAAAUUUAUAUAUACAAGGUAUUGUAUUUUCUUUAAUAUCACCUUAGCUUUUUUUUUAAUUACAGAAUUUGUUAAAUUUGUCUGGACUUUUCAAGUCGAUUUUAGUCAAAGUAUUCAAAAUUGGUUGAGCAGAUUAGGUACGGAUCCCACACCCAUACUCAUGUUGUGUCGACUCGGAUGCAGUACCGAAAGUGAAGAGUCCGAUUAACUUAGGAUGCUAACUAUUUACCAUAUCACAAUCUGUGGAAUCAGUGUUGUGGUCAUCUUCAACAUUUGUUCAUAAUACCUGAUUGUUAUUUUUCUGCACAUUCAGUGUGUUGAGUUCUUCCAAAAGUUUGGCUUGAAGAAAAAUUCCGCAUUUCUAGUAACAAUCAUUACUAGUAUUCCAGUAGAUGUUAUUCGGUCAGUGAACUGAUGUUUCUUUUAUGUUCAAGUACGUAAGUAAUAAGUUAUAUGAAAUUUAA